rnacentral:rRNA from 1 species
GACGAACGCUGGCGGCGUGCCUAACACAUGCAAGUCGAGCGGUAAGGCCCUUUCGGGGGUACACGAGCGGCGAACGGGUGAGUAACACGUGGGUGACCUGCCCUCAGCUCUGGGAUAAGCCUGGGAAACCGGGUCUAAUACUGGAUAUGACUCCAUGACGCAUGUUGUGGGGUGGAAAGCCUUGUGCGGCUGAGGAUGGGCCCGCGGCCUAUCAGCUUGUUGGGGGGUGAUGGCCUACCAAGGCGACGACGGGUAGCCGGCCUGAGAGGGCGACCGGCCACACUGGGACUGAGACACGGCCCAGACUCCUACGGGAGGCAGCAGUGGGGAAUCUUGCGCAAUGGGCGAAAGCCUGACGCAGCGACGCCGCGUGAGGGAUGACGG